CAGGGUUCUUCUUUUCUGGUGUGGUUGGCAUUGGUUGCUCAGUUGUUGGGUUACUUUAGAUUGAUUUAAGAUUGUUCCAUUUCUAAGGAUUAUAAUUGAUUUGGCAUGUUCGAAAAAGGUUUCGGGACCAAUGGAGCUCUCAGCCAUGUACUAUCCUUUUGGGUUACUGAUGGGCUGACUAGAUAAUUUGGCUUCCUCCCUCCUGCUGAAAGCUGUUGCUAGCUGACCUAUCUAGAUCUCUAACUUUGCUAUUGAUUGUGUAUGGGAGUGAAGGAGUUGGUGUUAGA
rnacentral:lncRNA from 1 species